AUACGGAAGGUGCAAGCGUUAAUCGGAAUCACUGGGCGUAAAGCGCUCGUAGGUGGCUUUGUAAGUCAGGUGUGAAAGCCCACGGCUCAACCGUGGAAUUGCACUUGAUACUGCAUUGCUUGAGUUCGGGAGAGGGUAGUGGAAUUCCAGGUGUAGGAGUGAAAUCCGUAGAGAUCUGGAGGAACACCAGUGGCGAAGGCGACUACCUGGACCGAUACUGACACUGGAGGGGACGAAAGCGGUGGGGAGC
rnacentral:rRNA from 1 species